GGGGGACAAAGCCAGUCUGGCGCAGAGUCCCGCCCCUGCUCUGGCCCUUGUCAGUCAACUCAGGCUCAGCUCCACCUCCUUCCGUUUCCCAGGCAACGGCUUUAAUCGCCGCUGGCCCGGAAUGCAAUUCAUCUUCCCUGUCUGAGCUAGGAACUUAGUCUCAGAUCCGCUUUCCGGGUGACCUCGGUCCCAGACCCUUAAAUCCGCCAAAUAGCCUCCCUCCUUUCCAGUUUCGAAGCCCCCAGUCUCCUGAGCGCCCGCCCUUUGACUUCCUGCCCGGAAAUCCGCGAGGAUUUCGAGGAAUCGCUCGAGGCCUCCCCUUCGGUCCCAAGCCCGGGUUUUUCCGUGGCCUACGGGGCUAUCGGCUCUGCCUCUUGCACUUGCAUCCGGCAGUUCGGGAAACGCUUACUGAGAGUGGCUCUGUGCCCGGCGCUAGGUAGAAAUGGCCUGUUGGGUGAACCGAGUCCCUUCCCAUCUGCAGGGACAGCCUGUGCCCGGCAGUCAUUAAGUCGUCCCAACUCAGGCUGCCAGAGAGACAACAGCAGGCCCCAGCUUCGCGUCCCAGCCUCCUCCAGCUUCUCCUUCCUUCCUCCAGUCUUAGACAAGCAAGGUUUUGCAACUGAAUAACGUCCAGGAGAACAGGGGAGGAACCCCGCAUAGCUUGGGCUGCACACACCACCUCUUCCUCCCUCCACCGCAUACAUCCAAUCGGUGACUAGCGAACGCCUUCCCGGCGCGAAGACUGCGGAACCCACGGGCCCCUAGCUCCCCGGCUCAUACAUUAAAGAUGCGGACGCGCCGGGACUGCGGUGCCACAAGCAUGAAGACAAAUUUUUAAUCCCGAGCAAGAAGAUGCCGGGAGAUGGGGUGCGCCGGAGAAAAAUGAAUUAGGUUUUUAUUAUG